rnacentral:tRNA from 1 species
GUUUUUCUAGUAUAAACAGUAUAACUGACUUCCAAUCAGUAGGAUUGAUCUUAAAUCAAGAAAAACA